rnacentral:ncRNA from 2 species
GGAUGAACCCUUGGAGAGACUCUUAAAGAGCACCGAAGGAGCAAGCCGCAAAGGUGAAACUCUCAGGUAAAAGGACAGGGACAGAUAA